rnacentral:rRNA from 1 species
AUCAACUUUCGAUGGUAGGAUAGAGGCCUACCAUGGUGGUAACGGGUAACGGGGUGUUAGGGCACGACACCGGAGAGGGAGCCUGAGAAACGGCUACCACAUCCAAGGAUGGCAGCAGGCGCGCAAAUUACCCAAUCCCGACACGGGGAGGUAGUGACAAUAAAUAACAAUACGGGGUUCUAAAGGAUUUCGUAAUUGGAAUGAGUACAAUUUAAAUCUCUUAACGAUCAACAAUUGGAGGGCAAGUCUGGUGCCAGCAGCCGCGGUAAUUCCAGCUCCAAUAGCGUAUAUUAAAGUUGUUGCAGUUAAAAAGCUCGUAGUUGAAUUUCGGGGUUAGUAGGUUGGUCAUGCCUCUGGUAUGUACUGAUCUCACUGAUUCCUCCCUCUUGACGAACUGUAAUGUCAUUAAUUUGGUGUUGCAGGAAAUCAGGACUGUUACUUUGAAAAAAUUAGAGUGUUUAAAGCAGGCUUAGGCUUGAAUACAUUAGCAUGGAAUAAUGAAAUAGGACGUUUGAACCUAUUUUGUUGGUUUCUAGGAUCGACGUAAUGAUUAAUAGGGAUAGUUGGGGGCAUUAGUAUUCAAUUGUCAGAGGUGAAAUUCUUGGAUUUAUUGAAGACUAACUACUGCGAAAGCAUUUGCCAAGGAUGUUUUCAUUAAUCAAGAACGAAAGUUAGGGGAUCGAAGACGAUCAGAUACCGUCGUAGUCUUAACCAUAAACUAUGCCGACUAGGGAUCGGAUGAUGUUAAUUUUUUAAUGACUCAUUCGGCGCCUUACGGGAAACCAAAGUGUUUGGGUUC